rnacentral:sRNA from 1 species
CUCCUCAACAGCAUCAACAUUACUGUGUUUGGUUUGCCUGUUUGAAACACUAAAUAUAUAUAUCCUAAGCGAAGAUACUUGAAGGAGACUGUAUGCUGAAAGAAGUUUCAUUUUACCAUAAUAAAAACUCCAUAUAACCUUGACGGUACCACGUCCUCGAAUUGGGGUCGCGUAGUUUGCGUCGGUUGUAAAUGAACAUGCUGCAUAUUAAUGUAUUUACUACUUGAUACCAAAUAACUGCCUGAUACAUAUAAAUAAUAUAAAAAUCAACAUGGAUAAAUACUGUCAUCAUUAUCUAGAAAUAUUAUUAUUUAUAUGUAUAUAAAUCAAAUAAUCUGGAACUGCUUAAAGAAGGAAGCUGCCUGCUAAAUCUAUAAAAAUACUUGUACGCCCAUUACACUCGAACGUUGUCUGCCUGCAUUACGUUCCGAUCUGAGCGGUACCACGAUACUAUCACCACCUUAAGAGAAGUCAUAAUUGCCUUGCCUGACUUCAUCGUGCAGCUCGCGCUCAGUUCGACACAUUGGACAUUGAUGUACUAAGUGCUACUUAAAUAAAUACCUAUAGAAAAU